GCCUGGGUGGCUCAGUCGGUUGAGCGUCUGACUUCGGCUCAGGUCACGAUCUCGCGGUCCGUGAGUUCAAGCCCCGCAUCGGGCU
rnacentral:tRNA from 1 species